UGAGGAAAAAGGCAAAUAGAAUCAAGAUGACAAGAUUAACUAUUUAUUUGAAUUUUUAUAUCAACGAUCCAGUCUAAGUGGCUCCAAGUAUCAACAAGUCAUGAAAAACAUUAUCGUUGAUGAUCCUGAUAAGUGUAGUAAGUCAUUACCAAUGGACAUAGGAGUACUUCAGUUGAGAAAAAAUAAGAAAAGAUAAUGUAACAGGUUGUCAAAAAUCUGGUGUAAAGAAGGACAAGUUAUCAUCAUCCAAGCAGCCAAAACUUAAUGUGGAAGAUUUUUCAUCACAUACUGAAAAUAUGGAAAGUGAUACAUCGGGAAACAUGCUGACAAACUUGCAAACUCUUCUUGGGAAUGAACAUGAUGAUUUAGAGAAAGUUGAGGACAUAAAAGAUAUCAGUGAUCAUUUCCUUGAAUUAUAUCUUGGGCACAUUCAUUCCCGGGAACAUGAAAAUACUACACAUUCAGAAGACCAACAACUUAAGAAAUACAAGGGCAUUUCAGAACAUUUGUAGAAAGGCUUCACAGAACCACAUAAGAAGUCAUUUCAUGGAAAGAUACUCAACCCAGGUAGCUGGAAAAGGAAGUACCUCAACAGGAUUAUAGAUUGUCCCAGACUUCAUCUUCUUCAAGCCAAUGCAGAAAGUCAACAACAACACCAAGGCAACCUUUUCGGUUCAGAACCUCGUUCUCUCAGAGAACACAGGAAACCACAAAGAUCUUCUUCAAGUGUUGAUAGUGUUUUGGGCCCCCCAGAACUGAUGCUAUAUAUGCCAGAUGUGUUUUGGUUCCUGAAAAGUUGUGAAUAGAUGAAUUAACAGAUCGUUUGUCUACCCCUGAUUUGAGAGGAGGAUAAACCUUAAACCCUAGGUACUAUUUGUUAAGCUCGAAAUGGUUAUUUCAAUGGCUUUUAAUAAUUUCUGAAUUAUAAAUCAGAGAACAUCCCCCUGUUGUUUCUUGCCAUGGCAAUGGAUCCAAUAUCUAAGGAUUUGAUCAGAAUGAAAGUCUUUAACUCUAGGGUUACACCAUCGCCCUGAGUCUAUAUGCAUACAGAUUUGAUUUUUAUGUUGUAGUAUGUAGGAGGGAAUUCAUGACAAACCUUCCAUGCUUUUAUCAAAUUGAGUCAUAUGCAUUCUA